ACGCUGGCGGCGUGCUUAACACAUGCAAGUCGAACGAUGAAGCCUAGCUUGCUAGGUGGAUUAGUGGCGAACGGGUGAGUAAUACGUGAGUAACCUACCUUUAACUCUGGGAUAAGCCUGGGAAACUGGGUCUAAUACCGGAUACGACCAAUCUCCGCAUGGGGUGUUGGUGGAAAGCGUUAUGUAGUGGUUAUAGAUGGGCUCACGGCCUAUCAGCUUGUUGGUGAGGUAACGGCUCACCAAGGCGACGACGGGUAGCCGGCCUGAGAGGGUGACCGGCCACACUGGGACUGAGACACGGCCCAGACUCCUACGGGAGGCAGCAGUGGGGAAUAUUGCACAAUGGGCGCAAGCCUGAUGCAGCGACGCCGCGUGAGGGAUGACGGCCUUCGGGUUGUAAACCUCUGUUAGCAGGGAAGAAGAGAAAUUGACGGUACCUGCAGAGAAAGCGCCGGCUAACUACGUGCCAGCAGCCGCGGUAAUACGUAGGGCGCGAGCGUUGUCCGGAAUUAUUGGGCGUAAAGAGCUUGUAGGCGGUUUGUCGCGUCUGCUGUGAAAGGCCGGGGCUUAACCCCGUGUAUUGCAGUGGGUACGGGCAGACUAGAGUGCAGUAGGGGAGACUGGAAUUCCUGGUGUAGCGGUGGAAUGCGCAGAUAUCAGGAGGAACACCGAUGGCGAAGGCAGGUCUCUGGGCUGUAACUGACGCUGAGAAGCGAAAGCAUGGGGAGCGAACAGGAUUAGAUACCCUGGUAGUCCAUGCCGUAAACGUUGGGCACUAGGUGUGGGGGACAUUCCACGUUUUCCGCGCCGUAGCUAACGCAUUAAGUGCCCCGCCUGGGGAGUACGGCCGCAAGGCUAAAACUCAAAGAAAUUGACGGGGGCCCGCACAAGCGGCGGAGCA
rnacentral:rRNA from 1 species